UGCUUUAUAUCAGGGGCGGAGCCAGGGUUUAUAUCCAGUGCGGGCACAAUUUUAUUAUAUAUCGACUGCAGUGAUUUUUUUAGUCCGCUUUUUAGUCCCUACUUCUCUGGCUGUUGCUACUAUUUCUCACUCUAGUUCCCAAUUAUGCUAAUGGCAAUGCCAAUCAAAGCAGCCGGAAGAGUCAUCAGUUAUUAAAAAUUCAUAAUACAGGGGCACAAUUUCAGCAAGAAUCAUCCACAAGUAUUAAUAUACCAAGCCUUCAAAAAUUUACAGAAAAUCAUCCAAAAAUUUUCACAGAAUCAAUGUCCAGUGACUUAAAUCUCCAUAUUUUAUAAUGACUAUAAAAAAUCAUAAAUUAUAAACUUCAGCAAGCUCACAAUCAUAAAGCAU
rnacentral:lncRNA from 1 species